AUUACCCGCUGAACUUAAGCAUAUCAAUAAGCGGAUGAAAAGAAACCAACAGGGAUUGCCCCAGUAACGGCGAGUGAAGCGGCAACAGCUCAAAUUUGAAAUCUGGCCCCUCCCACGGGGGGGCCCGAGUUGUAAUUUGCAGAGGAUGCUUCUGGCGAGGUGCCUUCCGAGUUCCCUGGAACGGGACGCCACAGAGGGUGAGAGCCCCGUCUGGUCGGACACCGAGCCUCUGUGAAGCUCCUUCGACGAGUCGAGUAGUUUGGGAAUGCUGCUCUAAAUGGGAGGUAUAUGUCUUCUAAAGCUAAAUACCGGCCAGAGACCGAUAGCGCACAAGUAGAGUGAUCGAAAGAUGAAAAGCACUUUGAAAAGAGGGUUAAACAGUACGUGAAAUUGUUGAAAGGGAAGCGCUCACGACCAGACCUGGUCCCGGCGAAUCACCCGGCGUUCUCGCCGGUGCACUUCGGCGGGCUUCCAGGCCAGCAUCAGUCCGCGCCGGGGGACAAAGGCGGCGGGAACGUGGCUCCCCAGGGAGUGUCAUAGCCCGCCGCGCAAUGCCCCGGGGGCGGACUGAGGACCGCGCGUCUACCGCAAGGAUGCUGGCGUAAUGGUCGUCAGCGACCCGUCUUGAAACACGGACCAAGGAGUCGUCCUCGUAUGCGAGUGUUGGGGCGUCAAACCCCCCGCGCGUAAUGAAAGUGAACGGCAGGUGAGAGCCCUCGCGGGCGCAUCAUCGACCGAUCC
rnacentral:rRNA from 1 species